rnacentral:rRNA from 1 species
UGGGGAAUUUUGGACAAUGGGGGCAACCCUGAUCCAGCCAUGCCGCGUGCGGGAAGAAGGCCUUCGGGUUGUAAACCGCUUUUAGCCGGGACGAAAGCUGCACGGAUAACACCCGUGCGGGUUGACGGUACCGGCGGAAUAAGCACCGGCUAACUACGUGCCAGCAGCCGCGGUAAUACGUAGGGUGCGAGCGUUAAUCGGAAUUACUGGGCGUAAAGCGUGCGCAGGCGGUCCGUUGUGUCGGCGGUGAAAGCCCCGGGCUCAACCUGGGAAUGGCCGUUGAAACUGGCGAACUGGAGUGUGGCAGAGGGGGGUGGAAUUCCGCGUGUAGCAGUGAAAUGCGUAGAGAUGCGGAGGAACACCGAUGGCGAAGGCAGCCCCCUGGGCUGACACUGACGCUCAGGCACGAAAGCGUGGGGAGCAAACAGGAUUAGAUACCCUGGUAGUCCACGCCCUAAACGAUGUCGACUGGGUGUUGGGGAAGCGAUUUCCCAGUACCGUAGCUAACGCGUGAAGUCGACCGCCUGGGGAGUACGGCCGCAAGGUUAA